rnacentral:SRP_RNA from 1 species
GCCGGGUGCGGUGGCGCAUGCCUGUAGUCCCAGGUACUUGGGAGGCUGAGGUGGGAGGAUCACUUGAGCACAGGAGUUCUGGGCUGUAGUGUGCUCUGCUGAUCGGGUGUCAGCACUAAGUUUGGCAUCAAUAUGGUGACCUCCUGGGAGUGGGGGACCACCAGCUUGCCUAAGGAGGUGUGAAAUGGCCCAGGUCAGAAACGGAGCAGGUCAAAACUCCCAUGGUGAUCAGUAGUGGGAUCGUGCCUGUGAAUAGCCACUGCACUCCAGCCUGGGCAACAUAGCGAGACCCUGUCUCU